rnacentral:rRNA from 1 species
ACCCCCGGGAAACUGGGGCCAAUCCCCCAUAGGGGAAGGGCGCUGGAAGGCCCCCUCCCCGAAAGGACGGCGGCCGAUCCGCCGCCGCCCGCCCGAGGAUGGGGGCACGGCCCAUCAGGUAGUUGGCGGGUUAAAGGCCCGCCAAGCCGAAGACGGGUAGGGGCGGUGAGAGCCGCGAGCCCCGAGAUCGGCACUGAGACAAGGGCCGAGGCCCUACGGGGUGCAGCAGGCGCGAAUACUCCGCAAUGCGGGAACCGCGACGGGGCUACCCCGAGUGCCGGGCGAAGAGCCCGGCUUUUGCCCGGUCUAAAACGCCGGGAGAAUAAGCGGGGGGCAAGUCUGGUGUCAGCCGCCGCGGUAAUACCAGCUCCGCGAGUGGUCGGGGUGUUUACUGGGCUUAAAGCGCCCGUAGCCGGCCCGGCAAGCCGCUCCUGAAAUCCCAGGGCUCAACCCUGGGGCAGGGGGCGAUACUGCCGGGCUAGGGGGCGGAAGAGGCCGCCGGUACUCCGGGGGUAGGGGCGAAAUCCGUUAAUCCCCGGAGGACCACCAGUGGCGAAAGCGGGCGGCCAGAACGCGCCCGACGGUGAGGGGCGAAAGCCGGGGGAGCAAAGGGGAUUAGAUACCCCUGUAGUCCCGGCCGUAAACGAUGCGGGCUAGCUGUCGGCUGGGCUUAGGGCCCGGCCGGUGGCGAAGGGAAACCGUUAAGCCCGCCGCCUGGGGAGUACGGCCGCAAGGCU